AAACUUAUCAAUUUUAUAAGAAUCUCAGUAGCCAAUACAUUACAAGUUAAACCUACUAAAUCUCCCAUCUCUUCCUUUUCGGUAUCUUCAAUUUUUAAAUUACACAAUUUAAUUUUGUAAUUUGGGAAAAAAAUUACAUAAAAAUAUAAGAGAGAAACGGGAGCUAUAUAAAUCUCUAAUCACAAACCACUUACGACGGGCGGUUCGUCGGCCUGGCAGAUAUUCGAACCGGAAUUGGUCGACCAGUACCAACUACUACACACCAUGCGACCGGAGCCAGCACAAGUCCGACAUCCCACAUCUCCAUCUGACCAGCGAGAGCAGAGACAAGUAACUCGACCUGUGCCGUUGCAAGUUGAGCACCGCUGGAAUGGACCAGCCAUGGGCUUCUGUUCCAUCACCGAUUUGACGAGGACGGCUCCGGCCAGCACGCUAAGGCCCGUCGCAAGCUGAGUCAAGACAAUCGGUCCCAUUUUCAGGCGGAUCAGAGAGAGAGAGGGGGGGAAAGAGAAGUUCCGGAGCGAAAUGAGAGAGGAGGAGGAAAGAUUUUU
rnacentral:misc_RNA from 1 species